rnacentral:rRNA from 1 species
UACGGGGGGGGCAAGCGUUGUUCGGAAUUACUGGGCGUAAAGGGCUCGUAGGCGGCCAACUAAGUCAUACGUGAAAUCCCCCGGCUUAACCUGGGAACUGCGUCUGAUACUGGGAGGCUAGAGUAUGGGAGAGGGAUGUAGAAUUCCAGGUGUAGCGGUGAAAUGCGUAGAUAUCUGGAGGAAUACCGGUGGCGAAGGCGGCAUCCUGGACCAUUACUGACGCUGAGGCGCGAAAGCGUGGGGAGCAAACAGG